rnacentral:ncRNA from 12 species
GGGCCUGUAGAUCAGAGGAUUAGAGCACGUGGCUACGAACCACGGUGUCGUGGGUUCGAAUCCCUCCUCGCCCA